UCUGGGACAAGCCCUGGAAACGGGGUCUAAUACCGGAUAAUACUUUUUCCUGCAUGGGAAAGGGUUGAAAGCUCCGGCGGUGAAGGAUGAGCCCGCGGCCUAUCAGCUUGUUGGUGGGGUGAUGGCCUACCAAGGCGACGACGGGUAGCCGGCCUGAGAGGGCGACCGGCCACACUGGGACUGAGACACGGCCCAGACUCCUACGGGAGGCAGCAGUGGGGAAUAUUGCACAAUGGGCGAAAGCCUGAUGCAGCGACGCCGCGUGAGGGAUGACGGCCUUCGGGUUGUAAACCUCUUUCAGCAGGGAAGAAGCGAAAGUGACGGUACCUGCAGAAGAAGCGCCGGCUAACUACGUGCCAGCAGCCGCGGUAAUACGUAGGGCGCAAGCGUUGUCCGGAAUUAUUGGGCGUAAAGAGCUCGUAGGCGGCUUGUCACGUCGGAUGUGAAAGCCCGGGGCUUAACCCCGGGUCUGCAUUCGAUACGGGCAGGCUAGAGUGUGGUAGGGGAGAUCGGAAUUCCUGGUGUAGCGGUGAAAUGCGCAGAUAUCAGGAGGAACACCGGUGGCGAAGGCGGAUCUCUGGGCCAUUACUGACGCUGAGGAGCGAAAGCGUGGGGAGCGAACAGGAUUAGAUACCCUGGUAGUCCACGCCGUAAACGUUGGGAACUAGGUGUUGGCGACAUUCCACGUCGUCGGUGCCGCAGCUAACGCAUUAAGUUCC
rnacentral:rRNA from 1 species